AAUCGGAAUAUUUGUCAAUGGGCGAAAGCUUGAACAAGCAAUGCCGCGUGAGCGAUGAAGUCUUUCGGGAUGUAAAGCUCUGUGUUACGGGACGAAAACACGGCGCAUUAAUAAUGUGUCGCUUUGACGGUACCGUAAUAGAAAGCCACGGCUAACUACGUGCCAGCAGCCGCGGUGAUACGUAGGUGGCAAGCGUUGUUCGGAAUUACUGGGCGUAAAGGGCGUACAGGCGGCUUUGUAAGUCGGAUGUGAAAUCCUUGGGCUUAACCUGAGAACUGCAUCUGAUACUGCUUGGCUUGAGGUCAGGAGAGGAAAGCGGAAUAUGUGGUGUAGCGGUGAAAUGCUUAGAUAUCACAUAGAACACCGGUGGCGAAGGCGGCUUUCUGGUCUGACUCUGACGCUGACGCGCGAAAGCUAGGGGAGCGAACGGGAUUAGAUACCCUAGUAGUCC
rnacentral:rRNA from 1 species